GCUGGGCGUGGUGGCGGGCACCUGCAAUCCCAGCUACUCAGGAGGCUGAGGCAGGAGAAUUGCUUGAAUCCAGGAGUUCGAGGCUGCAGCGAGCCAUGAUUUCACCACUGCACUCCAGCCUGGGCAACAGAGCAAGAUCCUGUCUCAA
ensembl:misc_RNA Metazoa_SRP Metazoan signal recognition particle RNA